rnacentral:rRNA from 1 species
AAAUUGAAGAGUUUGAUCAUGGCUCAGAUUGAACGCUGGCGGCAGGCCUAACACAUGCAAGUCGAACGGUAACAGGAAGAAGCUUGCUUCUUUGCUGACGAGUGGCGGACGGGUGAGUAAUGUCUGGGAAACUGCCUGAUGGAGGGGGAUAACUACUGGAAACGGUAGCUAAUACCGCAUAACGUCGCAAGACCAAAGAGGGGGACCUUCGGGCCUCUUGCCAUCGGAUGUGCCCAGAUGGGAUUAGCUUGUUGGUGGGGUAACGGCUCACCAAGGCGACGAUCCCUAGCUGGUCUGAGAGGAUGACCAGCCACACUGGAACUGAGACACGGUCCAGACUCCUACGGGAGGCAGCAGUGGGGAAUAUUGCACAAUGGGCGCAAGCCUGAUGCAGCCAUGCCGCGUGUAUGAAGAAGGCCUUCGGGUUGUAAAGUACUUUCAGCGGGGAGGAAGGGAGUAAAGUUAAUACCUUUGCUCAUUGACGUUACCCGCAGAAGAAGCACCGGCUAACUCCGUGCCAGCAGCCGCGGUAAUACGGAGGGUGCAAGCGUUAAUCGGAAUUACUGGGCGUAAAGCGCACGCAGGCGGUUUGUUAAGUCAGAUGUGAAAUCCCCGGGCUCAACCUGGGAACUGCAUCUGAUACUGGCAAGCUUGAGUCUCGUAGAGGGGGGUAGAAUUCCAGGUGUAGCGGUGAAAUGCGUAGAGAUCUGGAGGAAUACCGGUGGCGAAGGCGGCCCCCUGGACGAAGACUGACGCUCAGGUGCGAAAGCGUGGGGAGCAAACAGG